rnacentral:misc_RNA from 1 species
GCAAACUUGGUCAUUUAGAGGAAGUAAAAGUCGUAACAAGGUUUCCGUAGGUGAACCUGCGGAAGGAUCAUUACUGAAUUUAAAUUCCGGGGUUGUAGCUGGUCAUUUAUUUGGCAUGUGCACACCUUGGUAUAAUCCAAAUUCAAUCACACCUUUGUGCACCAUUCCAUGGAAUUGACGGGGUAAUGAAGGAUUUUGCUUACAGCUCUUUCUUUCUUGCUCAAUAUUUCCAUGUCUUUUUGUAAACACUGUUGUCUCAGAAUGUCAAUUGCGUUGAACGCAUCUUUAAUACAACUUUCAGCAACGGAUCUCUUGGCUCUCGCAUCGAUGAAGAACGCAGC